rnacentral:rRNA from 1 species
AGUGAACGCUGGCGGCAGGCCUAAUACAUGCAAGUCGAACGAACACACGGGAGUCUGUGGCGGCUGGGGGUGGCGGCGGACGGGAGGGGAACAUUGGGAUAGACUACCUAUAAGAAAGGUGUAAAAACGGGGAACGGGAGCUAAGGGGGGAAGAUAUAUUGCACUUAGAGGGGCAAGCGUGAAAGACGGUUUUGGGGGCGCUAAGGGCUGGACCCGCGCCGCAUUAGCUAGUUGGUUAGGUAGCGGCUUACCAAGGCAGCGAUGCGUAGCCGACCUGAGAGGGUGAUCGGCCACACUGGAACUGAGACACGGUCCAGACUCCUACGGGAGGCAGCAGUAGGGAAUCUUCCGCAAUGGGCGAAAGCCUGACGGAGCAACGCCGCGUGAGUGAUGAAGGUCUUCGGAUCGUAAAACUCUGUUAUUAGGGAAGAACAAAUGUGUAAGUAACUAUGCACGUCUUGACGGUACCUAAUCAGAAAGCCCCGGCUAACUACGUG